rnacentral:rRNA from 1 species
UACAGAGGGUGCAAGCGUUAAUCGGAAUGACUGGGCGUAAAGGGCGCGUAGGUGGAUAGUUAAGUGUUUUGUGAAAGGCCUGGGCUUAACCUAGGAACUGCAGAGCAUACUGACUAUCUAGAGUUUGGUAGAGGUAAGUGGAAUUUCCGGUGUAGCGGUGAAAUGCGUAGAUAUCGGAAGGAACACCAGUGGCGAAGGCGACUUACUGGACCAAAACUGACACUGAGGCGCGAAAGCGUGGGUAGCAAACAGG